UGGGGAAUUUUGGACAAUGGGCGAAAGCCUGAUCCAGCAAUGCCGCGUGUGUGAAGAAGGCCUUCGGGUUGUAAAGCACUUUUGUCCGGAAAGAAAUCCUUGGCUCUAAUACAGUCGGGGGAUGACGGUACCGGAAGAAUAAGCACCGGCUAACUACGUGCCAGCAGCCGCGGUAAUACGUAGGGUGCAAGCGUUAAUCGGAAUUACUGGGCGUAAAGCGUGCGCAGGCGGUUUGCUAAGACCGAUGUGAAAUCCCCGGGCUCAACCUGGGAACUGCAUUGGUGACUGGCAGGCUAGAGUAUGGCAGAGGGGGGUAGAAUUCCACGUGUAGCAGUGAAAUGCGUAGAGAUGUGGAGGAAUACCGAUGGCGAAGGCAGCCCCCUGGGCCAAUACUGACGCUCAUGCACGAAAGCGUGGGGAGCAAACAGGAUUAGAUACCCUGGUAGUCCACGCCCUAAACGAUGUCAACUAGUUGUUGGGGAUUCAUUCCUUAGUAACGUAGCUAACGCGUGAAGUUGACCGCCUGGGGAGUACGGUCGCAAGAUUAAAACUCAAUGAAUUGACGGGGUCAUAGCUG
rnacentral:rRNA from 1 species